rnacentral:rRNA from 1 species
GUUAGUUUUUAAGAGCGUUCGGUGGAUGCCUUGGUAUCAGGGGCCGAUGAAGGACGUGGUGGACUGCGAUAAGCCUCGGGGAGCUGUCUGACAGGCUUUGAUCCGAGGGUUUCCGAAUAGGGGAACCUAGCAAGAGUAAUGUCUUGUUACCUGCGCCUGAAUGUAUAGGGCGCAAGGGGGUGUACGCGGGGAAGUGAAACAUCUUAGUACCCGCAGGAAAAGAUAUUCCGUUAGUAGUGGCGAGCGAAAGCGGAUUAGGUGAAACCGUGUUAGUGUGAUAGACGCCAGUUGUUGCUGAUGCGGGGUUGUGGGGCGUGUUUGUUACAUUCUCUGGCGGGGGUGUGCGUAGUUAUAAAUGUUUGGUGUAGUUGAAUAGUCUGGGAAGGCUAAGCGUAGACGGUGAUACUCCGGUAGGCGAAACAUCAGGCACUGCGUUGGGCAUGUUUUCCCCAAGUAGCACGGGGCUCGUGGAAUCUUGUGUGAAUUUGCUAAGACCACUUAGCUGCCUAAAUACUUCCUGGUAACCGAUAGCGGAUAAGUACCGUGAGGGAAUGGUGAAAAGUACCCCGGGAGGGGAGUGAAAUAGUACCUGAAACCGGGCGCUUACAAGCCGUCAAAGCCUUAAGGGGUGAUGGCGUGCCUAUUGAAGAAUGAGCCUGCGAGUUAGUGGCGUGUCGCGAGGUUAACCCGUGUGGGGGAUCCGUAGCGAAAGCGAGUCUGAAAGGGCGGUUAGUGGCACGUUCUAGACCCGAAGCGGGGUGAUCUACCCAUGGCCAGGUUGAAGCACGUGUAAGAGCGUGUGGAGGACCGAACCCACUUCAGUUGAAAAUGGAGGGGAUGAGCUGUGGGUAGGGGUGAAAGGCCAAUCAAACUCCGUGAUAGCUGGUUCUCCCCGAAAUGCAUUUAGGUGCAGCGUUGCGUGGUUCCGGGCGGGGGUAGAGCUACUGGAUGGCUGAUGGGCCUUACAGGGUUACUGACGUCAACCAAACUCCGAAUACCGUCCGGGUAUAGCGUGGCAGUGAGACAGCGGGGGAUAAGCUCCGUUGUCGAGAGGGAAACAGCCCAGAUCGCCGGCUAAGGCCCCUAAGCGUGUGCUAAGUGGGAAAGGAUGUGCGGUCGCGUUGACAACCAGGAGGUUGGCUUAGAAGCAGCCAUCCUUGAAAGAGUGCGUAAUAGCUCACUGGUCAAGUGAUCGUGCGCCGACAAUGUAGCGGGGCUCAAGCACACCGCCGAAGCCGCGGAUCCUCAACAAGCACCCUGUCAAUAUUUUUGUUGGCCAGGGGUUGGGGGUGGUAGGGGAGCGUUGUGUACUGGGUGAAGCGGCCGAGUAAUUGUGUCGUGGACGGUACGCAAGUGAGAAUGCAGGCAUGAGUAGCGAUACUAGGGUGAGAAACCCUAGCGCCGAAUGACCAAGGGUUCCAGGGCUAGGCUAGUCCGCCCUGGGUGAGUCGGGUCCUAAGGCGAGGCCGACAGGCGUAGUCGAUGGAUAACCGGUUGAUAUUCCGGUACCGGCUGGUGACCGUCAAGUGUUGACUGAAAGGUACUAACCCACGCUAAAAACAUGACUGAAUGCCUUUUGGGUGUUUGGUUGUGGUUUUGGUUUGGGGACAGGCUUUCUUGGUAGGCAAGCGUGUGGAGUGACGCACAGUGGAAGCCUUCGCGAGGUGAUGGAAUACCCUCGUUUAACCGUGUAGCUUACUGCUUAGGUAAAUCCGGGUGGUUUUAUGUGAGGCGGGAUGAUGACCAUCUUUGGGUGGGAAGUAGGGGUGAUCCUGUGGUGCCGAGAAAAGCUUCGACGCGAGGUUGUUAGCCGCCCGUACCCUAAACCGACACAGGUGGUCGGGCAGAGUAUGCCUAGGCGCACGAGAUAAUCAUGGUUAAGGAACUCGGCAAAAUGCCCCCGUAACUUCGGGAGAAGGGGGGCCUGAUACUUGAUGAAACCAUUUUUUGUGGCUUUCUAGGGUUGAGGGUCGCAGAGACCAGGGAGAAGCGACUGUUUACUAAAAACACAGGUGCGUGCGAAGCCGUAAGGCGAUGUAUACGCACUGACGCCUGCCCGGUGCUGGAAGGUUAAGAGGAACCGUCAACAUCUCUUUGUGGGUGUGAAGCGGUGAAUUUAAGCCCCAGUAAACGGCGGUGGUAACUAUAACCAUCCUAAGGUAGCGAAAUUCCUUGUCGGGUAAGUUCCGACCUGCACGAAUGGCGUAACGACUUCUCUACUGUCUCAACCAUGAACUCGGCGAAAUUGCAUUACGAGUAAAGAUGCUCGUUACGCGCAGAAGGACGGAAAGACCCCGGGACCUUUACUAUAGCUUGGUAUUGGUGCGCGUUAUAGCUUGUGUAGGAUAGGUGGGAGACUGUGAAGUGGUCACGCUAGUGAUUGUGGAGUCGUUGUUGAAAUACCACUCUGGUUAUAGCGUGUGCCUGAACCUUGGCCCGUGAUCCGGGUUAGGGACAGUGCCUGGUGGGUAGUUUAACUGGGGCGGUU